GACGAACGCUGGCGGUGUGCCUAAUACAUGCAAGUUGAGCGCUGAAGGUUGGUACUUGUACCGACUGGAUGAGCAGCGAACGGGUGAGUAACGCGUGGGGAAUCUGCCUUUGAGCGGGGGACAACAUUUGGAAACGAAUGCUAAUACCGCAUAAAAACUUUAAACACAAGUUUUAAGUUUGAAAGAUGCAAUUGCAUCACUCAAAGAUGAUCCCGCGUUGUAUUAGCUAGUUGGUGAGGUAAAGGCUCACCAAGGCGAUGAUACAUAGCCGACCUGAGAGGGUGAUCGGCCACAUUGGGACUGAGACACGGCCCAAACUCCUACGGGAGGCAGCAGUAGGGAAUCUUCGGCAAUAGACGAAAGUCUGACCGAGCAACGCCGCGUGAGUGAAGAAGGUUUUCGGAUCGUAAAACUCUGUUGGUAGAGAAGAACGUUGGUGAGAGUGGAAAGCUCAUCAAGUGACGGUAACUACCCAGAAAGGGACGGCUAACUACGUG
rnacentral:rRNA from 1 species